rnacentral:rRNA from 1 species
AACGAACGCUGGCGGCAUGCCUAACACAUGCAAGUCGAACGAGACCUUCGGGUCUAGUGGCGCACGGGUGCGUAACGCGUGGGAACCUGCACUUAGGUUCGGAAUAACUCCCCGAAAGGGGUGCUAAUACCGGAUAAUGUCUUCGGACCAAAGAUUUAUCGCCUUUGGAUGGGCCCGCGUUGGAUUAGCUAGUUGGUAGGGUAAAAGCCUACCAAGGCGACGAUCCAUAGCUGGUCUGAGAGGAUGAUCGGCAACACUGGGACUGAGACACGGCCCAGACUCCUACGGGAGGCAGCAGUGGGGAAUAUUGGACAAUGGGCGAAAGCCUGAUCCAGCAAUGCCGCGUGAGUGAUGAAGGCCUUAGGGUUGUAAAGCUCUUUUACCCGGGAUGAUAAUGACGGUACCGGGAGAAUAAGCUCCGGCUAACUCCGUG